UACGUAGGGUGCAAGCGUUAAUCGGAAUUACUGGGCGUAAAGCGUGCGCAGGCGGUUUUGUAAGACUGUCGUGAAAUCCCCGGGCUUAACCUGGGAAUGGCGAUGGUGACUGCAAGGCUGGAGUGUGGCAGAGGAGACUGGAAUUCCCGGUGUAGCAGUGAAAUGCGUAGAUAUCGGGAGGAAUACCGAUGGCGAAGGCAGGUCUCUGGGCUGACACUGACGCUCAUGCACGAAAGCGUGGGGAGCAAACAGG
rnacentral:rRNA from 1 species